rnacentral:lncRNA from 1 species
UUUUUUUUUUUUUUUUUUGGUGAUUCGCAUCCCAUCCUCUCUUACCUCUUCCCUUUUACCACAGUAACUAUAUUCAGGGAGUACCCAGGCCAGUGCAGAAUACAGAAGCAGAAAUCCACCACAUGAUGUAUUCAGGAUAAAUGCUACAAGAAGCUUUCUAUCACACUUAUCAUUCGGUCCAGGAAGCCAACCUGGAAAGGGCAAAAAAUGAAUCAGCGGAUAAUAAACCAACAGGUAAACAACUCCCCGAACCCUUCUACUGCUGAUGAUUAGUCAUCAGACAUUCCGGGGCUGAUAAUAGUCAAAUAGAAUGUGCCCUCAUCGAAACGCAUGGGAAUGAUGGCAUGACAACAAAAUAAUCAUCGACAGACAUGAUUAGGAUCCUAAACUCACACACGUAUCCAUGUCGAAAGGAAAAAGGCUUUGGCUACCUUAUGCACGCUAAGGAAAUAACAUCAUUAAAAUCAUGGUUUCCUUUUUGUUUCACACCACUCCAACCAGUCUCCACAACGUCCUCUUUAGUCCUGAAAACUGGACACGGAUAGGAGUUUACAAGGGCCAAACGGGAUUUUUAAUAUCUAAAAGCCGAAGACACCACUCAAAACUGUGAGGGAAGUACAUCCACCAAAGCCGAUCUGCAUGACGUGGGAAGAAAUACCUCCGAACCCUAACUGUUUGUGGUUUAAAUUAACCAUCCAAGCUCAAGCAGUAAUCCUGGGAUGAAAUUUGUAAAUAUCUUUAAAAAAGUUAUCAUCAAUUUGCAUGUCCAACUCUUUUCAACAUAAAGCAACCGUAUGCGAAUUUAUAAGAUAAGCAUCCCUUUAGCUCCGUUGGAAUAAAUUCCACUAUUCUGACAGCCAAUUAAAAUAAAGGAUAAAUCACCUUUUUAUCCCCGUGUGUUUGGUGCUUUGCCACAUAACCUUCCUAUAUUUUAAAAACUCCCUUUUAUGAUUUGGAUUAACGUGUUACCGUUAGUUUUUCUAUUAAAACUAACCGUCAAUAGUCAAAAAGUUAAUAUCAAACUAAUAAAUUAACAAAUUUACCCUUUCAUUACUUCUUUUUUUCCCUUCAAACAUAAAAAAGAAGAAAUCGAAAAAAAAAAUACAUAACUAAGAACUAGAAAAUAACAUUAAAUAUUUGGUCUAAAAACCUACAAUGAUAUUUGUAGCCAAAAAUGAUUUGCUAAUUUUUGUUUCUUAUUUAUGUGUUUUAUAUUUCCCUUCCAUCUUUUUUAGUUUCUUAUUUAUUUUUUUAUUUCCCUUUCAUCUCUUUUGUAUUUUGGAGAAAAUUAAGAUUUUGUAGGUCAAAAUAUAGGUUUUCAAAAUCAUCUCUUCUCUUUCCUCCUCCCAAAAAAAAGAGAGAAAGAAAAGGAAUAAAGAAAAAAAAAGUAGUGAAAACGUGAAUUUGUCAAUUUAUUAGUUUGACUUUAAUUUUUUUACUAUUGAAAAACUAACGGUGAUACUUUAACCUAAACCAUGAGAGAUUAUAUAUAAGUUUUUAAACCAUAGAAAAUUAUGUGGUAAAGCACCAAAUUACUGGAGGAUAAAAGAUAAUUUAUCCUAAAAUAAACUGUAUCACCACAAUCCAUCAUCUUGUCCAUUUUACAGCAAUGCAAUCACCAAUGACAGACCACGAAAAACAAGAACUGGGAGAAGAAUGCAGUAGGGCACUUGAUCUGAGAAUCUUGUUGCAAAAACUUACCGAUGAUUGGAAAACAGCUUUACUAAUUUUCACAAUGCAAUACUCCAGCUCUUAUGCAAUAUUGGCAUUGUUCUGCAAAUGAAGAAGGUAAAAGCUAAACAGAAGACAUGUAUUAAGCGAAAUGGAAAAGCACAACCAAAAAAAUCCAAUGCACGCAACAAGAACAAGAUAUCAUGAGAUGCACAAAUAGUUGCAGUUAUUAUUGGAUUAUCUUUUUUGCGUUUUUACUGAUAUUUAUUUUAACAGCUAUUGUUUUUAAUGCUUGAUCCAUCGUUUCUUAUUUUUACUUUGUAAGGGAGCGGAGUGAGUUGAGGUUCAGCAAUUUGCCAAAUGAUAUUCCCUGUUGCAGCAACCCGCCAAACACAAACUUGCAUGUACAAAUCACAUAACCCAAAAUGACUUGAGGCUUGGUUGAAUUAUUUUACAAUCUAAUACCUAGACCACUUCCUCAAGCUGUUUCACAAACCUAAAGGAAGAUAUCAUCAAAGCAGAAAAAGUGGGCAAUUAUAGGGAAAGGGAACAGCCAAUACGAGCAAAACCUCCCAAUGUGUGACUACUAGCAUUAGCCAUACCCUCAUUUUGUUUAAAAUCGUAAAUAACAUGACAUCUGAUGUUUAACCAAUCUGCCCAUCCAUACAGCCUAGGCGAUUCCACAAUAACGUUAAUCAAAACACAGAAGCCUUCUCUGUACUAAGAUAGCACACAAAAUAUUUAAAAUCAUUGUGUAGUUAAAAUCUUCAUGGAUUAUUCAUGCGUACCAAAUUGGGGACUUGCAGGCUCUCAGGAUGAUAGUUAUAAUUCAAUCAUUCAAACAUACUCGCCAGAUUGAAAGCACAAGUUCAAACAACAGAGCUUACCCUUGACUCUAAGGUCUUUUUACUGUCACUGAAGUACUGGUUUGGAUGAUUAAUCCCAGCAUCAUAAGAUGUGCCGUGAACAGCCUCAAAUGUCAAAGUACAUGCCAACUGCACAUUGCUUUCAGCAUUUUGAUUUCCAACCCCAAGCAAAGAAGCGAAAUUAUCAGAGGCAAUUCAAGACAACAAACAACACUGAAUACUAACCUGGUAAUGUUUAUUUCGCACUUUUUCCAUUACAUCCUCUAGUGCACGACUGCCUACUCCCAUCCUUCCAAGGGCAGCUCUCAAAUUCUCUUCACUGCUCAAGAAAGAUUGUCCAGCUAAUUAUUUCAGCCACAAAAACUUUUAAGCCAAAAAAGAACAUAGAAUUAUAAAUGAUAACGAGUACAAUAUAAGCUUAAGUUUUACAAAAAAGUAUUUCUGUUGAUGAUGACGAUGAUAAAAAACUGACACUGAUAAACAUGUCAGCAUUUCAUCAGAUAAUUUUCAACUUAAAAUCAAUGGUAUAGAACAUGGUACCCAUAUAAUUGGACUGCUUUGACUCAAAAAUAUAAAGAAAGUCAUCAGAAAUAUGAAUUUCUUGAAAAUUCAAGCAGGCACAAUGUAAAAAAUUCAACAUAUAGAAAAUAAAGCCUGUUACAUUAUUGCAAAGGUCUGACCUGAAAUGACGAUAUGGACAACCAUGAUGAUCUCCAACACCAGGCAUCGAAGAGAUAAUUUUUUGGCACGAAUAGGGAGUGUAAUCCUGCAGUUACCACAAAGAGAGUUGAAGAAAGUUGGACGCUAGUGUGAAAAAAUUGGCCAAUGCACCCAUGCAGAAUUUCACAAAUUUUGAAAUGAGUUGUUUGAUUAACAAUAAGGAAGAAAAAUGGGGCAAUUUGAACAGAUAGAGUUAUUCUAACAUGACUACAGCUCACAUGGAAUUCAAUUUAAAUCUACUCAGAAAAUUGUUGAAAGUAAUUUGAACAAGAUGAUUUUUAUGUCAUACACAGAAGAAUCAGGAGUUUCCUUUUCUUAACUUAGUUUCCUUUUCUUCUCUUUGUUUAUGUUUUCUACUGAACACAAAAGAUACAUUAAUCUUCAGUUGUGCAUUCUAUCUCUAUAGAAAAAAUGUCAUAUUAAAUCCAAAAAUUUAAACUUAAAGAGAAAAUUGAGAAGUAUCAGAAACUGAAAAUAACUCACUGUUCUCUUCCCUUCUUUUCCGUAAUUGUGGCGUAUGCUGUAUGCAUAUUCUUUGUCAAAUCUUUCAGCACCAAACUGCAACACCCAAUGUGCACUUAAAAGGCUAUUGCAGCAAAUUAAUAAGAGCAAAAGAAUUUUUCUGAAAUUUUGCCUCUGUUAGGUCUUAUGGUACAAAAAAAAAAAAGCUAUUAAGAUUUCGUAUGCUAAGAAAUACAUUGUGCCUCUUCACAAUUGGGGCGAUCAAUGAAUCUAACUUCUCAAAUACAGAUGAAAUGGCAUAAAGCUACAUCUUACUUUUCUUGAGAAUUCUGCUUUCCAGAAUGCAAGAGCAUCAUCUAACUUCAGUCCAACACCCUAAAAGCAAACACUCAACAAGAAAAAUCCAUAAGAAACAUCCAUACAUGUGCAAUAAAAUGCUACGAUACAAUUUUCAGAAAUUAUUGCCACCACUUUAACUAUUAUAAAACAAUUGUGUCAUUUUAUGCAUACGAAAGAUCAGGUUUGACUUCUAUAGAUAAUAUUAUAUAUCCAUAAAACAGAGUUGUGUUAAAACAUAUCUAAUAUCUAGGACAUGCAAACCUUGAGAAAUAAACCCAACUGCAUUCUGCCUCCAUGCUUCAGAUGGUGAUCCUCUCUCAACUGCAUCAAAGCCAUGCAUAUCAUGGAGUAAAUUAAAUAAAAUGAGGGGAAUGCAUAUCCUAAAAAUAUUGUUUCAAAAUUAAACUUCAAUGGACAAUAGCUGAAGAAAAUUAUACAACGGUGAAAUAUUAAAACCUCCAACCUUCUCAAACAGAUGACGCAUGCACAAGGGAAAAGAACUCUUAGCCACUUGGUCAAUAUCUUUUAAAGAAAUUUCUGUAAAUUCUCUUGGCUGCAGAAGAGGUUCAGCUAUAUGAUCAGGAUUACCUUAAAUGGAAAUGAAUCAGGGGCUACAGACGAUCAUAUUGCAUCUGUCAAAUACCUGACUAUAAUCCGGACCCAAAUAACUCAAGGAUAAGGAUUCAACGAGCUACAAAAUAACCAGCGAAGUAAGAAUAACAAAUUUGAGAAAAACAGAAAAAUGAAACAUAAGAAUUAAUUCACCACUCACAGGCGUCAAACGAUCUUUUUCUUGUUCUCUGAUCAUCGUUGUCCAUUUUCUGAAUAUAAAAUAUAAAAGCUAAAGACCAUCGCAAUCUCUUAUGAGAUUUGAUGCAAGAGAUACUAGGCUAAGAAAUCUAAUACAUGAGACACCAAGACAGAUAUCUCCCGACGCCAUAUAACAAGACAAAUCAAACAACUAAAGCCUCGACUAAAUCGUGUCUUAGAUCUAUCCAUGCCCUACUUAUGCAAUUAUGCAGCUGAUGGAGAAAAAUUUUAAAAGCCAAGGAACGUUUUUUGGAACUUUUGGGAACAGUAAGGACCAUACAUCAAAACACAAGACUGAAUUUUCAAACAAAUAGGCAAACUACUAAGAUAUAGAGCAUACUAGUGCUGACUGCUGGGAACAGAAGACACAGUGCAAACAGACCACCGUCUACGGUGCAACUGGAGGUUUGGAAGGCAAUAAUACUGCCCUAGCGCAAACACACUUGAGCUCAUAGUAUUAAAAAGGAAAUGGCAAAUUCAUGUGCAACAAAAACUGCAUAGCACCAACUGAUACAGAUUAAGUUUAUUUUUGCCCAAAAAAAAAAGCAAUGCAAAAGUUUAGGGUCAGUGAAAAUAAACUACCUGUUUGUCAACACAAGUGCUUUCGAAAGAAGAAAGCGAAACUGUGUAACAACAAGAGAUACCACCUGUAAAAAGUCGUAAAUACAUUGAUCAGGUAGAUGGAACCCAAGUACAUACAGAUGUGAAUGAAUCAGUAGGCACUAAAUUCACCUGAUUCAUUGCAACAUAUGCUUGGCCUUUUUGAAUAUAUACUCGGCGGCCUGCCACAAGCUCGGGCACUUCUUCAAAUGGCACCUUCAUUCAUCAAAUUCAAGGAUUCAUUGGAGAAAAGAUUAAGAUGACCACAACUUCUAUUAGACAAGAUGCUCAUUCAACUCCACAAGGUAGAGGAGGCUCUUUUGCAACUUUUAAAGGAACACGAACUAUAGCAUUUACUUCAUAUACGAAUAAAAAUUUUCUCCUUAAUUACAGAAUUAUUAGUUUUGACGAACGUACUAAAAUGAUAGAUUAUAGUUCACAAUCACCUAAAGAUUUAACUUCUGACAUUCAUAUAGACAUCAUGCUCACCAAUCAAAUAUCGGAGGCAUGACUAAAUGCGAUUAUCACAUACAAGGAAGUCUUAUAGGCUUAAAGGAAUUGCAAGAAUUGCUAUCGAUCUAUUCUCAUAAUGCUUGUCAAAUUAAAUCCAGAUCAGCACAAUUACGUGUGUGACAGUGCAAACCUCAAAAGUAACUUAGAACCCCAUUUAGAUAUUCUCUUAUCAGGGGAGGUGGGAAUGCAACAUUUACCUUGUAGAAUAUACCAUCACCUGUAGAAGAGAAAGUGGAAAAUGUAUUAAAAUCAAGAAAUGAGAGGAUUGAAAGUAAGAUCUGAAAAUUCAUCAGUGACAGGAUCAACAAUCACAAAAAUUGGAUUGGCAAGUAUGACAGCAAAUACCACUUGACAGGGAUUGACCAGUUGAACGCGCAACUUGGCUCAGUUUAUCUUUCACAUUCUGCAUAGGAAAAAUAGAAAAAAAAAACAUGAAUCAGAUAUUAUUGGUUGACAAAUGCAUUAUCACAUAAAGAACCAGCAUGUACAAAUACUAAUUAAACAACUAAACUUGAGGAAUAUUAAGCGAAUGAAGAUCAUGAAGAACAUUUCACUGCAGGAAGUGUAAGGUAAAAUAAUACAUAAAAUACCUCAAAUUCGGCGCUGGUCACAGUUUUGUAAGGGAGAUGAAAUUCUGCCAUCAGUGCCCUCUGCAGAGAGAACAGAAACCUGAAAUAAUCAGCAAUAAACACACAGCAAAGAAACCUUGGCCCCCAUCCCAGGCCCCAAUCCAUGAAAAGAAAGAGGAUAGCCGUCACAAAUUACUCAAUCACACCUGGGCUUCAUGAGUUUCAGACCGAAAACGGUAGCGAAACAAUGAAGUCUCCAUGGAAAGAAACCAUUUUCUCAACUCUUCCCUAAAACAUAACAUUUCAAAAAAUAAAAUUGACUAUCUAACAAUACGGAAAACAGACGAACAAUAUGAGAAUUACACGUGAAGAAAAAAAAAAAGUGAAGAAUCUUACGUUCUACAGUAGACCAAACGAAGGACAAAAUGGGAGAUUAUGUCCUUGUUGACAACUUCAGAUGCAUGCGGAUGGCUCAUAUGCAACUUCCACAACUCACGUACCUAACAAAAAGGCAUAAACGAGUCCAAAGAAAGAAAGGAAAUGUAACGUUCUCAGAACUGGCAUAAACAUUACUGCAUCUGAAAAGAAAUGGAAAGGACAUAUCGUCUACCAAUUUUUCCAUUUCAUCAGACUUCUUUCCACGCGACAGUCCAUCCGAAAUCUCUUUUAGAACUGCAUUUUCACGAUUCGAGACAAUACUUAUCUAUCAACAACUCAAAUUUUAGCAUGUGAUGCAUCCCAAGAAAAACGUCUGGGGAAAAGAAUUUCUUAUAAGACUGCCGAAAAAAUCUGAUUAAAAUUUGCAAAAGGCUUUCAUCAAAUGUAGUUCAGAGACUUAAUUCUUAAAUUCACAUACAAGUCGAUUUUUUGUACGUUUAGAAGAGAGGUUGUGCUUUUAAGGAACCGGUCACCGCACAUAUACUCAAUGAAGAAACAAGCCUAAUCAAGAAUCCACCAUAAACCCGUUUGCUUACAAACAAAGUCUAAAAUAAGUCCCAUUUCUUGCUAAUUUUAGGGGGAAAUAAGAAUGGAUCUGUGGAAUCUAUGGUCACUAAAAAAAAAUGAGGAAGAGUGAGUGACCUCUGAGGCGAUCCACAGCAUAAAGCUCGAAAUCUUCCAGUCGAACUUGGAGAGCAGGCGCCGACAGGUAAAGAGGCAGGGUAGGGACGACGUCGUCUGCUUCGGCGGGCUUCCUAUGAGAUCUUACCACUUCCAUUUUUUUUUUUAAAUCCCCCCUUUCUGCUUUUCCUUUCGCCGUUCAGUCGUUUCUGAAGGUUGGCCGGGGGGAGGGGGCGUGGGGGGGUGGAAAAUGGCGGGAAAUGUUUUCUGGUUCCCUCCAUCUACAAUUCUGCAUUAAAAAAAAAUGACGUCCGUUGGGCUCAAGUUGUGGGCCCUAAGGAAUUUAUUUCCCUCCACCACACCCCGCCCCCCAAAAACCGGGCCCAAAAACACACACAAAAAAAAAAAGCAACUCUAUAUUUUUUUUUUCAGUUAUUAAAUACAGGUACCUGUUACUCUACAUUUUCUUUGUUCUUGGAUGUCAAGAAGCUAAGCCGCCAUGUGCUUUUCUUGUCCUUUCAGGAGCAGCAUAAUCGCUCUCAAGUGGUACAUAGUUGAUGGAAAAUUAAACCGAGCUAAUUAAUUAAAAGGUUUUACAUAAUUUGAACGUCAAAGUUUUGUUGAGUGCAUUAAGUGGUCACGUGGAAUUUAUGGUCUUCAAGAAUUUGUUUCUAGCAGCCGUGUUACUAUCUUAUUUAGACCAUACUUGUUAACCUAAUUCAGCACUUAAUUUUAAUGAGUUCAGAUAUUAACAUGUUCAAACACAUUUGAUAACGAAAAAUAAAACUUUAAAAUUAAUCAAAUAGUAUUGAAAUUUUUUAGGCAAAAUUUGAUCUAAAAAAUAAGUGAUAAACAAUUCACUAAUCACUUAAUGUGUACUCAAAUGUAUCAAAUUUAGUACUUAACAAUUCAGUAAUUUUAUGGAAUCGAGGUUUAGAUUUUAGUUUUAUCAAACGCACCCCUAGUUUCUGUCUUUCUUAAGUCGGUGGUAUCUAAUAUUUUGGUAAGUUUGCGUCUCUUGUGGAAAUAAUCCAAGUCCCAGUUGUUUUCUUGAUUUAUUAGUUGGUUCCAAUUUGUAUUUGAUAUAUAAAGAAACUCAUUAGCAUAUAAAUACUUGUAGUGGUGCUAAGUUAACACUUCAAAAGUUGAAUUAAAUCUUGAGAAGUAGAUUUCAAAGAGCCUCUAAGAAUUGUUAUUUAUGAAUUGUCCUAAGUAAAAAGUUACAAUUUGAUAUUGUUAUUUUUGAAUUUUAAGUUAAUAAAAUCAUUAAAUAUUUAUUUGUGUGUUUAUUCUCUUUCUUUUCUCACAUAUUUUUUAUUCAUGUUAAUAUGUAUCUUUUUUUACCAACAAUAAUAAUCGCUCGAAAUCACACAGUGCAAUCUUCCUUUUCAAGUAUAAUAUAUGUUUUGAUGGUCGCACAAGUUGCCUCGUUUAUUUUCCCUUCAUCUUUGUUUGGUGAUGCUUGUUACCCUGACCCAUAGGUUUCAUUUUUCAUCCGCUUAAAGCAAAUUGAAGCGAAAAGAUCUAGGCAGCUGACAGAUGAAAAAGACCAAAACAUGAUAUAAAACUUCAAAGAGCGAAAAAAGACAAAAAUUGUGCGUCUCGGAAUCUUAAAGCAAGAGCAUAAUAAGGUGGUAAAUCGAAAACAGGGGAAAAAAAGGUUAUAAAAGCAGUAAUACUCGACUCGAGGGUUUUCCACUAGAAUCAUCAAAUCCAACAGCAUUACCCAAGUUCAAUUUCUACGUUAUUCAUCAAAUGGCAAAAUUUUAAAUUAAAAAAGAAAGAGUCAAAACUGCAUCACGGACAACCUACUGCAAAAAAACUUGGUGCCACACCGGUACCAUCUUUUUACUCAGACCUAACGAAUCUUAGCGAUCAGAGACCACACGUCAAAUGGGGCAACAAAUCAGGGAAAAAUGCGCUGACAAAACGGAUGUGAUUCCACGUAUCCUUUUCCCUUCCAGAAGUCUCACUGUAUAAUAUAGGCAGUAAUUUUAUCCAGAACUUCAUACAUGUAUCCUAAAUUAACCUUAUAAGGUGAACAGAAAACCCUACAAAAUUCGAAGACCAUGAAUAUGGCUUGGCACCCCGUACGCGAGGCCAAUAUAUAGUAGUAUUUUAAAGGGCAAAAAAUAUAUCCUUUCUCAUCUACGUUUCAUGUGAAAAGCAUGAUAAAUAUUAAAUAUUGAAUGAAAGCUUCGCGCUGCAGCUUCUUCUCACCAUAUUAAAAGCACCGCCAGAAGACUUUAGGCCGAAGAUACCAGAACCAGAAGACUCGUUUGCCACUUCUGAGACAGGAACGUCAUUGGAAAAAAUCUGAGAACUCCUUUGGCUGGACAUUUCAACUCCAUUUGACAUUCCAUGCAGCUGGUGAAAAACACAAAAUCACACACUCACUCUGCACGAUGAUAUCUACUACACAAUUAAGAAGCCAAAGAAGAGAAACUCAUCAAUUACCUUCAAGCCCGAGUCUAAGACACCACCUUGCAAAGGACGCUGGAGAAAAGAAAUAGAUACACAAGUUGAGUGAGGUAUUAAAAAAAACCGAGUUUCAGUAAAGAGACAUCCAGAGAAAGGAUAAGAGAAACGAACUCCGAAAAACACAAUAAUGAUCAAUAACUUCAUAUCUUACGCCAUCGACAUUACUUUAGUUAAAAAAUGGCAAGUUCAAUAUAGUAGAAGCGAACUUCAGAUAGAAAACAACUGUUCCAGAUCCAGUCCAUAAUAACAGUUAAAUUUCAAAAUGACAAGCAUUUUAUCUUCGAAUACAGACAACCACUCCACUUGCCUGCUAAACAUUUUCAAGCACUGUGGAUUUGAGCAUUUCCCUUAUCAUAUUAACGUCUUUGCAUAACAGGAAGUUUGCAUACCUUGCUGGGCCCAUUAGAUGCAGAUGACGAUGGCGAUUCCACUGAACAAUUAGAAGGCAAUGACACAGCCUGCAAUAACAGCAAAAGGCAAGGGAACCAAUAAGUGGACUAGGCAUCAAGAUGGAAAAGAGCAACCCCAGAUAUUUGGCCCAAGGGCACCCGAGCCCUACACUAGAACAGCAUGUUCAUUCUCUUCCCCCAGUAUUACUAAUCAGGAGAACUACAACCACCUCGUGGUAAAAUGCAAGCUUUGAUCAGCAAUACAGUAUUAAGACAAGUUUCAAUAGGUUGGCCAAAAACAAAGUAAAUAGCCAUCCACCAGCAAAAAUAUUUUCAACUCAGCUAAGAUAAUUCUGCAGAGUCUAACUUGAAAUACGCUAACAAAAGUGAAGCCGAUGUGAUCUCCCAUGUCACAAUGGAGGCAAUCCAGGAUUAAUCCAGUACUCAACCCAUAAAUUUCUAAGAUGAGUAGUACCACGGCUGACAUAGGUUCAUGAGUUUCCUCUAAACACCAAAAACCAAUGUCUUACAGAGAUAUCAUACCCUAGAUGGAGUUAUUUGCUGCAUUUCAAGAGCUGGCCGAGAUGAACUUGGCAAUGCACCCUAUAAAAUCCCACAAAAUGUAUUUAGGAAGGAAACAUUGCAAAAGGACAAGCAUUUAUGAUGUAAAGGGAUGCUUCUCCUGCCUCAAUAGGAUCCAAGGUUCUGCUAUGUUCUAGAUUCUUCACAAAUGAAACCAAUCUGCCAACCCCGAAGAGUGUUUCACCCUGCACACGUGUGAUAAACCAUGACCAUGAUUAUUAGCCAUUAAAACCCCCAGCAACACAAUACACUGAACAAAAAGAAAAGAAAAGUGGAAAAAAAACCUGUUUCCCUUCUAUCUUGCUGAUUUUUGUUUCCUGCAACAUAUGAAGUACUUUAUUUAGUAACUAGACCAACACAAUAAUGCUUCUGAUGUGGCAAGCUCCAUGAAACUCAAUAACAUGGAUUACCAGGGAUCGGACUACAUGGUGAACUGACUGUACAUCGGCACCCAUCAAUCUCAGGUCCCCUCGUAGUUUAGACACCUGUACAAGGUCCAUGAAUUAGAAGGAAACACUAACUCAUGAAAACAAAAGGGCAAAAAGACAAUUUUGCAUUUACCAAAAUACAUUUUACUCGUCCUACCUCUUCUUUUGUGGCAGAUGUAUUACCCGCACAUUCAUCAAUUUUACUAUCCACACCAUCAAUUCUCGAAGACAAAUGGCGCUUAGUGGCCUGGACAACACAACCAAUCUCAAAUACAUUGUAAAUCCAUGAUCAAUUAUCAUGUAGCUACAUUCUAAUUUACCUACUGAAGACAGAAUUAUGAUUCUUGAGAAACCAAAUACCUAUGGAAAUAUAUUUAUUUCCUUUCACAAAGUUGACUCUUAAAGGCAUAAUCAUCUUUAGUCACUUCUUGCAGCUAUUUUCCAGUAUGAAAUCUUAAAGCAAACAACCAUCACCAUAUAUAUUAUGUGAAAACAUAUAAGCAACAUGAUAUGUAUGUAGCUGACGAGUGUUAUAUGAGUACACAACUUGAGGAGCAAAACUGCAAUACAAAGCAGAAGCAGGUCAUUUAUCAUUAACUUUCUCUGUCACUGUAAUACUGUUAAUCAGUAAUUCCUCACUUCCCCCUACCCCCUUUAAGUUCCCCUAAAAAAAUCAGAACUCUCUCUCUCCUUCUCUCUCUCUCUCUCUCUCUCUCUCUAUUGGGCCCAAGGUUGACGGGAUGUCCAUAAAGAAGGGCAAAACAAUAUAUAUAUAUAUAUAUAUAUAUAUAUAUAUAUAUAUCUGCAACAAUGUCAAACACAAAAUGCAGUUCAAUAACUCUUUAACUUAUGCAGUAAUUAUGUGAAGAAUGUCUUUGAAUUACUCUCCUACCAAAUUAAGUAGCUAUCCUAAGCGAUACAAUAUGGAAAACUUACAGAAAUUGCAGAAUAGACACUCUCAAGUUGUUUGGAUACACUAGAACACGCAUCAGACAAACUGCGUCUGGUUGCAAACAUCAUAUCAGAGAGUUUCCAACCCUGCAAGCACACAAAAUAAUUUAGUAGUCUACAUCACUCUUCUGUCAACCCCUUCCCUGCCCAAAACACAAUGAUACACAAGCAGAGGAGAGAAGGAAUAGACCUUAGUAGAAAAUCCUAUUAGGCUUUUGAUUACUAGCAAAUACCGACAGGUGACGACUUGUCACCCUUUUGCAUAGAACAGAGCCUAAGAAAGUUUCAGCUUUCACACAAGGAAUCAUACAUCUUAACAGCACCACAGCCAUUAUAAUGUCAAACACCCUAACCUGGGUGAACAACUUUUGGUACAUGCAGAUACCAUGGGACAAACUCUAUGUGAUACGGAGGGGGAAAUGUAAAAAAAAAAAAGACAAAAGGAGAUUUUUAUACUCAGAUUCAGACAUUGUGCGACCACACAUUAUUUACCUUCCACCAUAUACAGCCAUAUCCAACCACUAUAACAAUCACAAUUACACCAUAUCUGCCAGAAGCUGCACAAAUGAUUAUUACAAAGGGUCAAGGAUUGAAAAUUGCAAUAAAAAAGCAUACUGUUAAAAAACAAAAGAAAUAUGGCAUGAGUAAUGGGAUUACAAAUAAUAUUAGCCUAUUCACCCCUGCAAAGUCAAAUCAAGAUAUUCUUAUUUUUCUAUAGAGCUACAACUUGACAAUACAAUGCAUAAAUAUCUACAUUUAGGGCUUCAAUUUCAGUGAUAAGAAGACAAAGCAAGUCAUAGGAAACUUUGGAUUCUAUAGAACAGAACACAGACAUGUUGGUGGAUCUAUCAGUGUCCAAGAUAAUUGGUUCAAAAUUGAGAAGCGUGUAUGAAAUACGGUGGAAAAGCAGGAGGGCAGCAGAUGAGGAGACAACUUUUUUUUUCUGUACAAAAAGGAGGAUAGUUAAUGUAUGAAAUUUACGCCAUGACAGAGAUCGCCAAUUCGUGGAAGUGUCUAUCUUGUGAGGUUUUACAUUGGAACCACAGGCAUCCCAAAAGCAAAAGAAGUAACAGCUCACAAAACUUUCGAGGCACCAGAUCACUUGACCACUAAAAAAAAAAAAAUUUUACCACCCUGUACUCAAAUCACAACAAAGCUUGGUAUGAAAACAUCAUUUACACAGCUAUAGAAACCAAGACAGAACUGCAUUCAACCAACCAGAGCCAGCACUUGAUGUCACAAUUGUAAUUGAUCUAUUUGAAGCCAAAAGUUGCAGCUCCUCUCGAAGGCUAUUAACCUGUCAGAAUGAAACAUUGAGUUAAGCUAUUUAAGUAGAUCAAUUGAAUGCAUAGAAGACCAUUAGAGAUAACAUUGAUGUAGUUAAACGGACCACAUCUUUUUAAAGGUGCAGAUUCAUACAGAAGUUGGAAUUUAGAAAGGAUUAACUUAUACAGCCAGGCACAGAUCAAUUUCUUUUUUUUCUUUUUAUCCCAAAAUUUCCAAAGGCCCAGGCCAUAUAUCAGUUCUACAAUGUUUACAAACAAUCUCCUAGACAAUUAAAAAAAAUCUUUUAGGAAAAUGACAAUGCAAAUGGUAUGGACAUCAUAAAGUUCCAUGACCAAGUACCAAGCAAAUCAGCUAACCUGACCAAUCGCCACUCUCUAGGCUUAAAGAUUGUAUUUUCAGAUGGCUGACAGCUGUUUAAAAGGGAACCAUGCACACAAACCCUCCAAUCAAUGCAGAUUUAAUCAAGUAGAAGCUAUCAACAAAGUAACUAGAGAGCAAUUCUUUUAAUAUGGAAAGUGUGGCCUCCAAAGUUGCCGCUGACUUAUAACUAAUGUGUCACAAUCAAAUCCUAUCAUAAAUUCCUAAGUACAUCAAAGAGGAAUAUAGAUUUAACACCGCAAGUAUACUGAAAGUACACUGUUUUGAAAGAAACCGGUGAAAUGUGACACAUUCUUUUAAAACUUUCACAAAUCCAUGGUAAUUUAAAAUUUUAAGUGUGCUGAUGCUGCAUACACAAAAGAUCCAGGCACCAUAAAGAUGAAAAAGGAACACUCUACAGCAAAAAAAGGUAAAUAAAGAGCAUACUCUGUAAAGAAAAUACAAGAGAAAGCUUUAAACCUGUUGCAUGAGAGAAUCAUUCUGUGGUUUGGGCUUUGAAGUGGUAGAUUCAUCAUGUCUAAGUUGCCUCAGAACAACCUGCAAUAAACAAACAGUGACUGUUUUUAUAGGAGAAAGAUGAGCAGACAGCAAAAUACUUUUUAAGAAGAACAUAGUAUGUUGAAUAAUAAGAUGCAUUUGGUAUCCAACAUGAAAUAUACCUUCAAGGCACCUGAAAAGAAGUCAGAGACAUCUGAUAUACGCCCUUCUUUAGCUAAAACUGAUCCGACAAGGCCUACAAGAAUCACAAGUGACAUCUAUCAACACUUACAAUGCUUCUUCCUCUUUAAUUGAGAAGAAAACACCUCAAGAUCCAUUUAUACAGCUACAAAUAUACAUACAGACACUUUGCCAUGGCCUAUACGGCUCCGAAUUCUUUUUCUGAAAAUGUCUUCCCUUUAUGGUUAGUAUUUCCAUUCUAGCAUUAUUUUUCCAUAGUAGCCAAAUAAGAGGAAUAACUUACCCGGACUAACUUUUGCUUCUCCUCACCAUUAUAGAAGUUCCAAUUAGCCCAAUUGCUUAGUAUCACUACCUCUUGAUAACCCACUUAAAAGAUGAUUUGAGGUUUAAAUUCCAAAAGAAACUCCCCACUUCAACUGAACCCAAUUCAACAGCAUGACUGAAACAAUGAAAUAGACGAACUAAUGUACCUUCACCAUAAUAAUUACCCGCCCACUCAAAAUAAUUAUCAAAUUGCAGCAAAUUUACUGGUUUCCAACAAGCCCUCAGUAACCAUCUUAGCAAAUGAACAGAUGACAUUAAAGACAGUCACAAAUUUAAACAUCUAACCAAUUAAUUAAUCACACGAUAAAAAUAAAUACAUAUCAACAGAUAAUAAAGUUCAGAAAAGAAAAAACAGAAAUAUAAAAAAGACGAAUUAAAAUUUAGGCACCUGCACCAACGAUGAUAGUUAGCUUGCCGAGAGGUAGGGCCAUCCGCUGUCUGGAGAAUCAAUCAAAAAGAGGAUGUUACGAACUGAAGCAUUAAAGCUUUUUCUUUUUUAUUUUUUGGGGUACAGUCAAUUUCUUUUCUUGCAGCUAAAUCCCUGAUUGUUCUUCAGAAACCAAACUUCAAAGUCGGCCUUGUGGUUUAGUGUGUGUUUGUGUGUGAGAGAGAGAAUAAAUCGAGCAAAGCUGUAGGAGAGGAGUGAAGAAGAGCUUGGAGAACAAGGCUCCACUUAGGGCUAUUAAGCGUCAAGUGGGCCCAGCGAGCCGGGCUUCCAUUAGCCAGAACUCGGCUCGAAUACGAAAGUUCACCCCGCGGCUCUCAGCCCUUCUAAACUAUUAUUAAAUCCAAUUCUAAUUUUUGUUUUAAUAAAAAGGAAAUUUGUUGGAAAUAAUCAAGCAAAGGUCCGGUUUAGAUAUCAGUUUUUUAGAGUUUUUAUAUUGUGAUGUAAUAUAUAUGAAAUAAAAAAUUAUUAAGAAAUGUAUUAAGAGAAUAUCUUAAAAUUUUUUGGCAGAAAAAACGCCAACAAAGUUUGGAGCAAAUUAAGCAUAAUGGGCCAAUUCAUGCACAACUUUGUCUGCCUUGCAUGAAACCCAAUUAACUAAUUAAUAUGAGAAAAAUCUGAUAGAUAUGAUAUAUUAUUUCUUGAAAAAUCGUGGAUAAAAGGGAGAUAUUAAUAAUCCAUCUGUGUGUAAUGAAUACAACUUGCCAUGGUUGGGCUUGGGCCUCAAACAAGUUGAACUCAUCCCAAUUCAAUCUUAGCUCAUUUCUUAAUUGAUCGUUUCUUAAUUGAUCUGAUUAUUACAAUCAUGCUUAUUUGACACCUGAAAGAUUUUCAGCUUUUAACAAGCAGAGCUCUAGCUAAAAUUCGACCCUAGUCACAGUUUUACUGCUUUUGUUUCAGCUUUUUUUUUUUUUUAAGACUUUCCGAAUGGUUUAUAUUACCCCAAAUUUCAGCAGUUUUGCUAGGAAAUUUCCACUCUGUGGAUCAAUAACAGCAACAGUAGGGGACUAAAAGUCACUCUAGGGGACCCAAGUCAGAUGACUUCGAUAUAUGGGCCUCCUUUGCAACGGAAGAUUUUUGUACCCGUCGGGCUUCCUUGAUGAAGAUUUCAGUUCAUAAAAUUUGUAAAUUGCAUAUUAACACCGUGUAGUUUGAACAUUUUAUCCAUUAUCCUGUAUGAUUUUUUUUUCUCACAACGAUAAUAUUCUCGUAACCUAAUCUAUCAUAAUCUACAGAGACCGGGAACCUAAAGAGGCUAUGUAAGGGACUAGCAGGUAUAUAGAUCUGACUAGACAAAAGGGGUGUUCUAACACCUCUUUUGGAUCUUUUCAUUGCUUGUGAGGUCCAAACCUCCGACCUAUAGUUCAAAGAGAGAUUUAAUCCCUUUUUUGUGGUCAUUGAGCCAAAGCUCAGUGGUUAUUAUCCCAUAAGAUUCUACUGUUUGGAUUAGUGGGUAUUUUAAAAACAAGUUUUUGUUUUUUAAAUUUGCAGUAACAUAUUCAAAAAAAAAAAUGUCUUUCAAACAUGCUCCAAAUACACACAAUCUCAAAUUCAUCUAACAAAAAAAUAUAAAGUAAUAAAAAAAAACUCUAUCACAAUUUUUUUUAUUUUUGAAAUCUACAAUAACACACUAAAAAAAAUGCCCUUCAAACAUACUCCAAAUACACACAAUUUCAAAUGCAUUUAACAAAAAAAUAAAAUAAUAAAAACAACUCUAUCACUAUUUUUUUUCACUCACCACCCAUAUCUAGACCUGUCAACGGGUCGAAUUUGGGCCGAAAUUCAUUAUUUCGGACCCGGACCUGCCAUUCUAUACCGAUUCAAGACCCGAUCUGUUUACCCGACAGGUAUUAGAAGUUAUGUCUCGGACCCGGAUCGGACGGAUCCCGGAUCCGGGUCUACCCUGAAAAAAUUCUCAAACCUGGUUUACAGCAAAAUAAAAAACAAUCAUUGUUCCAUAUCAAGUGGGAUAAUCAUCAUAAUUCUUAACAGAAUGGAUAACUUCAAUUUUCCAGAGACUGCCUAUGACAGCCCCAUCUCACCCUAAGGCGAACCAAAGGAUUCGGCGGACCGCCUGCCCAACUCUCGUCAGAACUACUAAGACGGUUAAACACAACUCAAAACGUGCCGGAAUACAGUAACGCGCUUAAACAAAGCAAAAUCACGAAACAGAAAAAUGAAAAUUGAAACGGAAAGUGAAUAGUGCUUGCCAUGUCACAAUCCGACCGGGACCCAAUCGAAUACAAAUAACUUCAUAUAAUUCUUGAAAUGGACAUAUACAAACCAAAUAUAACACAUGAACAUGAGUACACGCUUUUAUAAAUCAUAUUCGUAUUUUUGCAAAUCAAAAGAAAACAUUUGAAUCCAAGUACAAUUAGGGUUUCCAACCAUUGAGGAGCUAUACAAAAUAUCUAAACUAGAUCAACUCAUUCUUCAAAAAUCAAAAGUCCAAACGAUGGUUUCCUGUAAGGAAAAUAAAAAUCAAGGAACGGGGUGAGUUAAAAGCUCAAUGAAGUACCAAAAGUAUAACAGUAGAAAUCAUGAGAAAACACUUUUAGGCCACAUAUACACAUCAAGUAAGAGAAAUGAACGAACACCACAAUUUAAAGGAUACAGGUGGCUCUCAGGAGCCAAAUCCCCGUUGCAAUACUUGAUCCAGUCUCGUUGACUCUCCGUCAACGUUUAAUGACACACUCAUGUCCGUAGACCCCUCUUGCGCCAAAAUCCCGUUCACCAAACAUACCCCUUACCGGGCCCGAACGACGAACAGUACAGAAUUGGUAAUACUCGAAUAUACCGGAAUCAAGAGUCUCAAUACCCAAAGAUUCCUCAGGAACAGGCACCCAUGAAUUGUCAAUUACCUCGACCAAGCCCUUGUUGGCUCGACUUAAUUAACUCCCCAUGAGGUUGAACUCAAGUUAACAGGAAGAUCGUUGGAUACACUUCCAACGAUCUCAUAACAAGCGCAAGUAACAAGUUCAAGUUCAUAACAAGUACAAGUAAUAGAUUUCAGUUCAUUCAAUACAGGCAAGAGAACGAGUGUGAUAAAGUAUACCCUCGUCUCAUUCAGAAUAACAGAGUUCAUAGUUAUCCAUGUCACAAAUUUCAAGUAUAGAUGAACCAAUUAAACAACAAUUCAGGGGAGUGGUACACUCACCAGUUAAAGCAGAGUUUCUACCAAGGUAGGGCUCUAAUCACCAAGAAAUCCUAAAAUAGCCAAGGUAAACAAUUAUGAUUCUCAUAGCCACAAUUCCAGUAAAUAAAAUGCGCAAAUGAGGCUCAACUACAAGUCGUAGAUUUCGCCAAAUAAUUACUCAUGCAAAUGUGCAAAACAUGAUUUUGGGACGAAAAGGUAACAUGAAAACCUAGGGCUCGAACAACCCCAAACCCUUUUUAUAUAUAUCCCAAACCAAACCAAAUUCGAAGAAAUCCAACACUCCCAAAAUUUGGACAGCAUAUCCCCUAAAUUCCUUACUUUUCCAUCCUACAAUCAAAACCAAUUCAUCUCAAAUCAACCACAUACAAGUCAUAGACUAUAAAAUACACCUUUCGGCACAACAACUACAACUGAAGCUGCACUUAUCGGAUUGAAACGAAUCUUAUAGGGUUUCGAAGCCAAGACAUAUACCUACAUUUCUUAUGAAGACCUCCAAAGCCAAAUCAUGCAUUUUCAUGGUCAAAAAUGAAAAUCUCCACGAAAACAGAAAUCUGUCCGCGAAACAGGGUUCAUGGGCAGUCAAGGAUAUUUCGGUCAUUUCACAAGUUACAGUGCUCCGAUUGAACAGAAAUUUUGCAGGCAACUAGUUAACAUCAUUUUAUACAACUUUCAUGUUUUAACCUAAGCCUGAUUCGGCCUCUAACAUGCACUAAUAAAGCCGGCCAAAACAGGACAGAUUGGAACCCUAAAACUGAAAUUUUCCGCAAAUAACCGCAAUUAACGCACAAGGGAUCCAUUUAACACAAUUUAGAACCAUCAAUCCAAGGCCAACCAUAAUCAUCAUAUGAAAAUAGAAAAAUCCCCCAAAAAAUCAGAAAUUUAGCUAACUUCACUUUAAUCCAUGAAAUCUUCCACAAAGUAGCAUCUAUAACAACUAUAAGCCACUAUUUAUCAAUUAAUUGAAGUAAAGAGGAAGUUUGUCAGCAAAGUACCUUGACACUUCAAGAAAUAUGAUAACUUAGGAUUUUUCUUUUCAAAACAACUCCACCAAGACCUUCAAACUCCCUUACCAAGUCACUUUAGUGGACAAAUUCGAGAUUUAAUCGGUUGGAUUUCAAAUUGUAAGCAAGAAAUGGAAGAUGAAAAUUGAAGCUCUCUUUCUUUUUUCUCCCUAAGAGGUUUGGCCAAGAGGAUGAAAAUUAGAGAUGAUUUUGGGUCAAAAUUAUUCUUUUAGUAAAGGUAAGAAAGUUAGGCAAGUCAACCAUCCAAUCGGGUCGCGACACAUGGCACUCUUAAUGGUUCAAACUUAUCCUUUUGUCUCUCCAAAAUUAAACCAUCUAAGUAACCUCUAAUUAUCUCUUAACACCUAGUAAAUUAAUCCCGGUAUACAAAACGUAACCUAAUUGAUCAAAUUUAUCGCGCUUAACGCCACUAGCGGGUCCCACGUCCAAUAUACACUUCUAAUAUCUCAUGAACUAACUUAUACUAGAAAAAUAAUUUAAAACUAUAUUUACUUAUAAAAAUAUCUCUAAAGUUAACAUAAUAACACAAAUAUAGAAAAACGGGUGCAAAGAAAGAAAAUAAGGCCUAGAAAUUCAGAAAAUUUUCCAGUUCUCACACUGUCAAGCAAUAUAUUUUUGUUUCUAAACCAGUGCAUUUCUUUCUAUCAAUACACACCACACCAAAUUAGAGAAAUUAAAUACAUUAUAAGAUUAUCAUUAUCUCUGAUGUUGAUCUCAACUAGUCAUUGUUCCAUAAGAAUAAUAUGACUCUUUUUACUCCAAAUUGAAACUGAACCCCAAGCAGCGAAGCUGUCUACACCAGCUUGGACAAUGAGCAAUCCAAAGCAUAAGACUGAAUUUUUCUCCGCAUCUUAGAUACUCAGGUUUCAGCAAGAGCCAAAUUGGUCGUAUCAUUAUUCUGCUUCUGCAGCAAAAAGUUUUUUUGUUUCUUCCUUUUCUACCCAUCCCAGUUCCGUAUUUUGCUACUCUCUGAUUUUGUCUUGCUCCUCUUUGAAGCUUGGAAAAGGGACGAAGUCUGGAGCCUGGAGGUGGAGGUGGAGGAGCAAAAGAGACUAAGAGAGUAAAGAGCUUCCAGACGUGAAGGAGGUGCAGUGCGGCGGCUGAAGUGAAGUCUAAAGAGUGUAUUAGGAUUUGGAUAAUAUUUAGUUGUUUGGGGUAUAGAAGUAAAUUUGGGGUAUAUUAUUGAUAAAUAUAUAUAUAUUUUAAUUAUUAAUUUAUUUUAUAUCCGGAUACGGGUCGAAAUAUUAUAUUCUGUAUCCGGUCCGUUUUUUUGUUUGAUAAAACGGAUCUGGGUCCAGGUAACGAAAUUAUAUCACUAUCCGGACCCGUAAAAAUUUGACGGAUCCGGUCCGAGUCCGGGUCCGUUGACAGGCCUACCCACAUCCUUUCAUCUUCUCAUUCCUCUACUGCCAUCAUCGACCCUUCCAUCCUUUCUCGUCCUCUUUCUCUCCCUACUUUCUCUUUCUUUUUCAUUCCUUUUCUUUUUUCUUCCCUCUCCUCCCGUGGCUAAUGCAACCAAAAAAGAGGAGAGAGAAAGGAAAGAGAAUGAAGGAAGUGGAAGAGAGACGAGGAGGAAUGGAUGAGCAACAAUAGAGGAGGGAAAUAGGAAGAAGCAGUGAUAGGUGAAGGGUCGUAAUGUAUGGUGAAUGAUGGUGAAAAUACAUCCUAAAAAACACUUGAUCCAUGUGGAUUAUCUACAACAGAAAGUUUUUGAAAUACAUACAGUGUACUUUUUUAAAAAUUUCCAAAAACACCCAAUCCAUAUGGACUCUAUAUAAUUAAUUUUUUUUCCACAUUUCACACUUCCAAACGGUAUAUCUAUAUAAUUGGGAAGGUUCUAGGGUCCGUCUGGAUGGUGUGUAUUUUGAAUGUUUGUAUCAAAUUUUACCCUAGUUUAUUGUAGGAUUUGAAUAACAAUUUUUUGUGGAGAAUUUGAAAAACUUUUUUACUCUUCUUUUUAUUUCUUCCUUUUUUUUCCCCUUUAUCUUCUCUCUUCUUUUUCCUCCUUGCCACCACUACUACUCCAACCACUGUUGCCCAACAUCUCCACUGCCAUCACCCCUUUCUCUUUCCCUCUUUUUUAUCCUUCAUAUUUCUCCUCAUUUUUUUCUUUCCUCUCCUCUGCCAUACCCUCCUCAUUGGAAAUAGAGGAAGAAAAGGAAUGACAUAUAACUCAUAGCCCAUGGACUAUCAAAUAACUUUGGAUUAACCAUUUUAAAUAUGUGAUUUCAGAUCAAAAAAUUAUUGGACCAUUCUAGUGGGAUCGGGGUAUUUAAAUGGUAUUAAAACGAAUCUCACGUAAUCUUUGCAUGAGGUGAGUUUGGACUAAAUGGUGUUGUGAUUCAAACUCCAGAGUGCAAUAAACUAAGUGUUAUGGAGAGUUAAAUACCACGUUCGACAGGAGUCACUUAUAGAACUUGCAAAAUUAAGCAUCAAGUUCGAUGUGGGCCACUUUUGGAACCCGUACAAGUCACAUCUAGAAUCUGUAUAUGAUUAAGUGGAUAGUAUGAAUGAUAAUCAGACUUUGCAAUGAUGCAAAAUUUCUAGGGUGGAAUAAGUAAAAUGUCCCACAUCGGAAAUGAAGGAAGGAAAGGAAUGAUAUAUAAGUCCAGACCUAUGGAUUAUCAAAUAAUUUUGAAUUGUCCAUUUUGAACCUAUGGUUUAAGUUCAAAAAGUUAUUAGACCAGUCCAAUGGACUAAGAGUCUUGCAAGGAAAAAGAGGAUGAGGAAGAGAAGGAGGGAGAGGGAAGGAAAGAAAAAAAGGAGGAGCAGCGACACCUGUUGAGGUAGGAGAAGGGGAAGAAGAAGAAAGGAAAAAAACUCCUGUGUUUUGUGAUAUUUUGGUAUGUAUUUUGAGAACCUUGAGGUGUUUUCCAAGGGUUUCUAUCCACAAAUUUGUUAAAAAAAAUACUUAUAUAUUAAAAACCAACCUUCCAAAUAGAGCCUGUGGUUGACUGUCAACUUAUGUUUGGUAAAGUUUGUGCUUGAUUUUCUAGUCCUAUGAAGGAAAAAAAACAAAAAUUCUUGCUCCUUUUAUCUUUACUACAUUAAACGGGGAUAUGAAACUUUCCCAAAAUGCACCAAUUUAUUUUUAUCCUUGGUACCGAUAAUUUAAUAGUCAUGCCAUACACUGCUUUUCUUCUUCUUUUUUCUUCUUAUUGGGUUGAUUAAAUUACUGUUUCUAUCAUUCCGGUUAACUCUUUUGAUAUAUAUUUUUCAUUAACAUUAUACUUACAAAUAUAAGAAUUUCAACUAAAAAAAUUGAAGCAAAUUGCAAUAUGUAUAUCAAAAAAAUUAAAACAACAAAAUAAUGGGAAUUGCUAGUCAAUAAUUUUUUUUAACAAGGAUGAAACUUUAUUGAGGUCAAAUUAACUAGAGUUAACUUCAAGUGAUAUAUACUUCUUGGUUUAUUUACUUUCGGCUGAGGAUACCUUGAUGUCAAAAACAAGUUAAUUUUUGUUCCAUUGCACGUAAAAAACUAACCAGCAAAUUAAACUCAAAAGCGUUAAGUAUUAACUAUAUAUGACGUAAAUUGAGACUUUACUUGAGUUGUGCUAACGCAGGACUAUUCCAAAAUUUGUACUUGAGUCGUGCUGUCGCAGGACUAUUCCAAAAUUCAUCCAACAAUUUUAUUUGAUGACCAUGUCGAGCUCCAGUCUACUUGCUUGAAUUUAAAAUAACAAAAACUGGGAUCUGACUAAACAUGAAAAAGAGUUAAAUAUUCUACAUGUUUGCGUUGGAUUAGUAAUACAGCGAAACAGGUCACACAACAUUUUUGUGGCUACAUGAUCAGCACAAACACCUCGUACGUAAAGCUGACUGAACAUAUAUACAUAUAUAUAUAGUUAUAUAGAUAUAUUGAAAAUGAAAGUGUAAAAUGAAUUUUGGAAUUCGUUACAUUUUGGUAUGAGCGAAAAAUCUAUCUGUAGUCGAAUGACCAUAAGUAGAGGAGAAAACUGCCGCAUUAAAAACUUGAAAAAAGAUUUACCCAACAUACACAAGGUUUCUACAGUCCGCUUUGUUCUACAAGUCAGCGUUUUUGAAUUGAUAAACACCGGCAUCAGUGACCCGUAUAUUCAUUCAAAAUCUGCAUCAUCCUUUGUUAAUUAACAAAUUUUCAGCAGCAAGUAAUUUAGACUUGGCUGUAUUAUUCUGUCAGUUUUAGGUUGGGUAUGAGUAAGUUUUAGGUUGUGUAUAAGGAAUUAGUAGGUAUAAGAAUUUAUUAGAUUAAAGGGACGCUCUAGCAUUUUCUUUGAAUUUUUUUCAUUGUAAGUAAGGUUCGAACUUCGGACUUACAGUCUAAAGAGGGAUCUUAAUCCCUUUUUGGUGGCCACUUGAACCAAAGCUCAAUGAUUUUAUUCUGACAGCUUAAGAUGAAUCAAAGUAAGAAUGGGCUUAUCUAUCGAUUAAAUAAUGGAAGGUGACGAGAAUUGACAAAAUGCCGUGGCGUUUGUCAACGGUCAUAGGAAGAAGCUCUUAAUUCUCAAUCGCUGCAUCAUUUUCUUGACAAUUUACAUAGGCAGAUGGGCUCUUUAGGGACGUGGAAUAGAGAUCAAUACAAUGGUUGACACGUUCCUUCUAUAGUCCAGUCGACUGCAUUUACCUGAAAAAAAAGAAAAAAAAAAUCCAGUCGACAACUACAUUACCACAUCUAAGUUCUAAUACCAUAUAUUCUGAUGUGGCAAAGCACUUUUUUUUUUGUAGAUUUUAUUUCGACAGGGUGCUUUCAUGAUGGAGAUUGAAUAUUUUUUAAUUGAAUGCUGAAAAUUAAAUGCGAAGCACCAAUUUUAAUGUAUCAAAAAAUUUAUGGUUUUUUUUAUCAUGUUGUGUUACUGUUUACAUUUAUUAUAUUAAUGUAUACAUCCUUUGACUUAGUGUCUAUAUACUAUAUCUAAGGGUUGUAAUAGGGUCGCACCUUUGUCAAAUAACUCUCCCCGUCCCAUCUCCCCUGCGGUUCUCCACGGGGAAGAAAUCAACCUAUCAUAUUUAAUAAUCUGCUUAUUCACAGGUCAAUUUUAUCAGUCAUUCUAUCUCAAAAUAUUUAAUAAAAACAUGUUUAAGUACUCAACUUUAGACCAUUUAACAAGUUACAAAUACUAAUAAUUAAAAAAAAAAUUAGCAAUUUGUCAAUACAAUAAAAAUGACAUUAAAACAUUCGAUUAAGAUGUAAUAGGACCAAGUCACAAUUGUUUGUUCACUUACAAUAACACAAUUGUAAACAAUAGUAAAUAAGAUUAACAAGCUGUCAAGAUAGAAACAAAACACAACAAGUCAAGUUACAUUCCUGUAUUCAACAAAUUCAGUCAAGUUGAUUUCUCAUAUUCAACAAAUUAAAGAUGCUCAACAAUAAGUCCAGCUUUUCACUUCAUCAACCUAGCUCAACAACUUCAGAACAUUUGCUCUUCAUCAAUCUCGAGAUGUGAUAACUCAUUUGAUAAAACAACCCUAAAAUUUGAUGCCAUAAUAAAAGAAGAAACUUGAUCAAUUUAGAUGAAUCAAAUUUCUUUAACACCUAUUCAGUAACACAAUCAACAUCAUCUUCUUCAUCAAACAAUGUAUUACAUGAUAUCCUUUCCGAAAUAGAGCACGUAGCUGCACCAAAAUAAAAAAAAAAAGCCAUAGAUUUAAUAAAUAAAGAAAUGCAAAAAAAAUUAUAUAAUUUUAAAAGUAGAAGUUAAAUCUUUUGUAUACCAUUUAUUUAUUCCAUAAUCAAGUGCGAGUACACAUAUAGUACUAUUGGUUUAGUUACUUUAUUAAAUAAUAGAAUAUUACUUAUUAGUCAUUAGAGAUACACAAUUAUAUUAUUAAAUAUAAAAAAUUAGAUUAUAACUAUAUUAUUAGAUUAUGUAUAUAUAUAUGUAAAUCUAUAAAUUUAAAUAAAUAAAUAAAUAUAAUUUUUUAUGCAGGAAACGAGACGGGAGUUGGGAUAAGUAUAUGUUGCCCUGCCCUUGCCCCAUUUUAACGCGGGGGCACCCGUCCCGUUGCCACCCUUAAGUGUACCGUAUUGUCGUCAAUAUAGGAUCCUAAUUCUCGCUUUGACAAGUCCGUUUCUAACAUUUGCGCCGGGAAUAAUCGUGUGAGAUGCACGCGAAAGUCCCCAUUUGGUUUGAAUUUUGGAUGCAGUUUAAUCAUUAAUGGGAGUUGAAAGUUGAAACCGCAACCCUUCAAUCAAGAGCCUUUCCCUCUGUUGCUGCUGCUAUUUCUGUUGCUAGUCCUACUCAUUCCAGACUUCCCGUUUGUUCGUUCUUUAUUUUUAGUUAAUUUUUUUGCUGGAUAAAAAGACACAGCAGCACCUAUAUUUCAAUAGAGGAUUUACUUCAGUAGCAUGUUGCUAUCAUGUGUUAAUUAAACUGAAAGAGAGAUAAAGAAGCAAGGGCUUCUGGACUAGUAGUAAAGUAGUAGUUAUAUAACUUGAGAAGCAGAUGUACCGUCGUUCGCCUUAAAACUAUUUCGGUUCCCCGCUUAUUCCUUCCCGUCACAGGCCUUUCUGGGGAAAAAAAGGGGUCGAGGAAAGCAUGCAACCAACCAAGAAAAUUUUGAAGUUUCAAUCGUGCAUUGGCAUCCCAAUAUCUUCCACCACCCCUCGGUCCCCUCCCCUUCCAAGUAAAUUAUAGGACUACAUCCACUUUGUAUUCCUAAACUUGUACAUCAUUCUUAUUUUGGACCCUAAACUCUAAUUUUAGAUAUUUUGCACCCUAAUUUUUCAGGCGUGUCCCGAUUAAGUCUAAUUGACAAUUUGGUUAUCAAAAUUAACAAGAUACAUGAUAGUACGAAUCAACAAUGAUGUGUCAUGUUGUUCUAAUUGCAAUAUCUUUAAAAUAUUUUGCCACUUUUAGAACACUGUCAUUGAUUUGCACCGUCUAUCAUUUUAUUAAUUUUGUUAAUAAUGUUAUCGAUUGGACUUAAGUGGGAUAAAUAUGAGAGAUUGGGGUGUAAUGCGUUCAAAAUUAAUAUUUAGAGUGCAAAGUAAGAAUACGGUACAAACUCAACUCAAGGGGUGCAAAUUGGAGUUAGACCUAAAAUAUGUUGUGGGUAAAAUUCACGCAAUAAAAUAUUUCAGGUAGGCACUCCGGUCCCCAUACCAUUCAUGCGAUGGGCUGAACGUAGACAUGGGUUCAAGGCGAGCUAUGAGGCUAUAUGUAGUGCUCAUCAAAUAAUUACACCGAUUUAUUCUUUCUUUGCAACAGGAUUAUGGUGAAGUUCAAAGAAACAUUAAUCUUGCUGCGGUUAUAUACUUUUUUAAAAAUCUAAAAUCAUCAUUACAACAUGGCAGUACAUAUCAGAAAGAAGUAGUGUAAAUUUGCAUCUGAGUCAAGAUGUGCUCGAAGUUAUCUGUGGAUUUCUCGAUUGGAUGCGAAUGCAU